UGUCUGUGUGGUGUUUUGAGAAAGUGAAUGUUGGGGCUUUAGAGUACUCUAGGUUUUUGUUAACCAUGGAUAAAGAGUGGAUGCAGUUACCCUUGUUUGUAAUCUUCCUGCUCUUUUUGAGAAAUACUCAUGGAUUUAAAGCUGGUGCUCAUUACUGGUGGGGCCAACCUUCUGACAAAACUUUCUCACCUCGUGCAGUCCAGUCUUCUGUGUCAGAGGUCCCUGUGACUGGG